CUUCUGAGACAACAAUAAUUAAUAAUUAAGCCCAUUUAUUCCUUAACUAUUGUUUUAAAAUGGAAGUAAUAUUGUUGCAUAGUAAUCAUUUAUCUUAAACAAUGUUUUAAUCUUAUGCGGUAUUUGGAUUUUUUAAUGUUUCUAAUUUUAUGUCAUAAAAAGCAUUUAUGGGCAUGUGGGAUAUAUGUGUAUUCUCUUUUUAAAAGGACUAGGUACUUUUAUGGGAACUAAGUUGAGGAUGUAACCAGUUUGUUUUUCUGAUGUGUAUUAAUAAUAGAUGAAUAAUAGUAAAUGUUUAAAAACUAUCCAACUAUUCUAAAAUCAUAGGAUCAUGGGACUGGAAGAGAACUCAGUGCCAUUUGGACCUCAUCCUGUGGAGAGUCUGAUUCAUUAGGUCUAAACCUGUCUUCACUUCUGUGAGAAUCUUAUAGAAAGGAUGAUCAGCUGGGCAGAGACACCGGAUUCCUACUUUUAUUACCUACAAUGGCCUUCUCCAGUAUUCUAGGUCCCAUAUUUUCAUGGAGUAUUAAGCUAAAAUUACAGAACAAUGUAAACACAGUCUUGAUGGCCCCCCUCCCUGUUUGCAUCUUGUGAUCUGAGUGGCCAGUUUACAUGUUACAUUUCCAGGUCCUGACUCCAGCACCUGAAAAGCAACCAGACAACAAAUUGCCACUGCCCAGAAGAGGCUCCAGGGACCCAACAGAAUACUUUCAUGGGCAGGAGGUACGGGACAAGUCAGAUGAACACGUGGAUCAUGUGUCUCAGAUCCAUAGUUACAGAGAUGAAGUAAAAGGUGCUGAUGGGCCCAUGCUCAAACCAACAAGCAGAAGUUAUGACCCAGCCAUUGUCUCACUCACUUCUGUUACUUCAUAGACUGAAGGGGCUCCACUCACUUCUAAAGAACCAGUUGAUUGGUUAAAAUCUCACCUUUGGUGGCAGAGUGAGGAAGAGGAAACAUGAUGGUCCAGGGCUUUGAUGGCCAAAAUUACAGGUAACUUUGUAAGUUAGAGGGGCUCGGUCAGGUGUGUAAGCCCAUUCUAGAACCUCUCUUUUUUAAAGUCUUCAAGUGUUAUCGUAAUGUGACAGCUGUUCCCCAUUUUCUAUUUGUUAACCCCAUUUACCAAAUACAAACUUCUAUUUUCUGAGAAAUUCUCAGGUAAAGCCUCUUGACUUAGAACUAGUAACACCUCUGUUGUAAAGAUCUCUGAUUUGGAAAAUAAUCUUCUCCUCUACAGUUAAUAAUUACUUGAAGUGAAGAAGUUUACUUCAAUCAUGUGGAUCUGCUCAACUAUGUAAAGUUUGUAUCCUACCUGAUGUGAUUUUACUUUAAAAAGGAAAGGUUUUUAUUAGAAUUGAAGAAAAAUUAUUCAGAUUUUAAAGAUGGGCUUCAAACCAUUAUUUGAAUAUGUUUAAUUUAAAAUUUUCAGGAAAAGGAGAGGAGGAAUAAUUAUGGUACUACCUUUACUGGGUAAGAUGAAUGUUGAAAUAAAUAGAACUAAUCCUGUAGUAGAGUGUCUAGUCUAGAGCAUCAGAUUGAAACUACUUUCCAUACAAAUGUCCUGCCACAGACCUCUGCCGUGUUUGUCUUCCUCACGCUGGUAGGUAGCUUUUCCUUUGUUUCCCCACGGUCUGCUUCCACCAGAAAACGAUUUCUAAAAAGUUUCAUCUAAAUAAGGCCAGUAAUAUGGUAGGUCUCUCUGCCCUGAACAGAUUGAACAAAUAUUUCAACAAUUUAACAAAUAAUUUAGGUACCUACUGUGUGCCAAGCUGUCCUCUUAAGGUUACUAGACAGUAUAAAUGACAGACAUUAAUACCCAAAUGAAAAUGUUGUGAAGGGCAAGUGUCAAGACAGACCUAACAAGUAACAUUUUAGGAUGAAACCUGAAGUAAAAGUUCGUGCUAGCCAGGCAAGAAAGAAUAGUAUGGAAGGAGUUUUGUUCGUUUGAGGACUGAAAGAAGGCCCAUGAGGUUGGAGCCUGGGUGACAAGGCAAGUGAGUUUAUGAACCAUGUGAAGAGCUUUUGUGAUUUGAUCCUCAAGCGCAGUGAAGGGCUAACAUCCAUUCAUAUAAAUCCUAAACUGCUCGGUGAAUAUUUUUAUGCCUGCAUUGUUUCCUAAUUCCUUAUUCAUAACAGCAGUACCAACUUUUUGGACAAAAGCUCUAGAUUUGCUAAUGCUGCUUUUUUUCAUUGUUCAAUGUCCAUAAUGAAUUUCCUCUCAUCUGAGGCCCUGUCCUACAGGGAGAGCCCUCCCCUCAUUCCACAAUUGCUUAAUGUUUAUGCAUUCAGUAGGAGGAAUAGAUGCUAUUUUGUUUGUACAAACAUUAACCAUAGAAUGAAGUCUUUCCACUGUAACUUGAGAUAACAAAGCCACAAACAUUGCAGGAAACAAAAUAGUGCAACCGGUGGUAUAUAUGAAGUGACAGGGUAUCUAAAAUCCUAAGAAAACUUGACACAGUGAAAUGUACGUAA
rnacentral:lncRNA from 1 species